AGAUUAUGCAUGGAAACCACCAGAGAUCAGAGCAUUCUAGAUGUGGCUUCAUUUCCAUUAUGAUCUCAGUUGAACACGCCUAUUGUCUUUGUAGUCACAGGAGAGAUGCUUGUUAUACAAAACAAUCUUGUCUAUGAGGGACUGCUUACUACACAGUCUUUCUGGAGCUUAGCCCUUUAAUAUUUGUUAUAUUGAAAGAAGCUAGGAUCAGUUCCUUCUAGCAACAUGUUUUCUGUUACCUGCUUGGGGCUUGUGAUCUUCUUACUCUUCAAGAAGAGCAAUGGAGAUUCUGUGACCCAGACAGAAGGUCCAGUUACUGUCACAGAGAGGGCAUCUGUAAUCCUGAACUGCACCUACCAGACCACGUAUUCAGCUCCCACGGCUUUCUGGUACAUCCAAGAUCUCAAGAAAGCCCCUCAGCUGCUCCUGAAGACGGCAACUGAAAACAAGAGGACGGAGAACCGAGGGUUUCAGGCCACGCUUGUGAAGAGCAGUAACUCCUUCCACCUGCACAAGUCCUCUCUGCAGCUGUCAGACUCGGCCCUGUACUACUGCGCUGUGAGCAGGGCUGAGGCAUGUUCCCCUCAGAGGGAGCAGGUCCACUUCAUCCUCACGGGCUCCUCAAACCCUUAUGAGCCCAGGAUCAUCUGA